GACGAACGCUGGCGGCGUGCUUAACACAUGCGAGUCGAACGGAAAGGCCUGCUUUCCCUUGUGGAUUGCGGGUACUCGAGUGGCGAACGGGUGAGUAACACGUGAGUGAUCUGCCCCCAACUUGGGUAUAAGCCUGGGAAACUGGGUCUAAUUCCCGAUAGGACUGCAGGGUGGUGCCUGUGGUGGAAAACGAUUUUCUAGUGGUUGGGGAUGAGCUCGCGGCCUAUCAGCUUGUUGGUGGGGUAAUGGCCUACCAAGGCGGCGACGGGUAGCCGGCCUGGGAGGGUGGACGGCGACAUUGGGACUGAGUUACGGCCCAGACGCCUGCGGGAGGCAGCAGUGGGGAAUAUUGGACAAUGAGCGGAAGCCUGAUGCAGCGACGCCGCGUGGAGGAUGACGGCCUUCGGGUUGUAAACUCCUUUCGACCGCGAGGAAGCCACCUGGUUGGAAGGGUGGUGACGGUAGUGGUAGAAGAAGCACCGGCUAACUACGUG
rnacentral:rRNA from 1 species